UACGGGGGGGGCAAGCGUUGUUCGGAAUUACUGGGCGUAAAGGGCUCGUAGGCGGCCAACUAAGUCAGACGUGAAAUCCCCAGGCUCAACCUGGGAACUGCGUCUGAUACUGGAUGGCUUGAAUUCGGGAGAGGGAUGCAGAAUUCCAGGUGUAGCGGUGAAAUGCGUAGAUAUCUGGAGGAAUACCGGUGGCGAAGGCGGCAUCCUGGACCGGUAUUGACGCUGAGGAGCGAAAGUGUGGGGAGCGAACAGG
rnacentral:rRNA from 1 species